UGAGCGACCUGCCGUACCUGUGGGGGAUAGCCGGCCCAACGGCCGGGUAAUACCGCAUACGCUCGUUUUGGGCAUCCCGAGGCGAAGAAAGCUCGUAAGAGCGCAGGACGAGGGGCUCGCGGCCUAUCAGCUAGUUGGCGGGGUAAUGGCCCACCAAGGCGACGACGGGUAGCUGGUCUGAGAGGAUGGCCAGCCACAUUGGGACUGAGAGACGGCCCAGACUCCUACGGGAGNAG
rnacentral:rRNA from 1 species